GAAGUUAUAGCUUGGUGGUAGAGUGUGUGCCUAGCGUGCAAAAGAUCCUGGAUUCAACCCCCAGUACCUCCA
rnacentral:tRNA from 1 species